rnacentral:sRNA from 1 species
GCCUUCCGCUCGUGGGAGUUCCGGAUGUUUAGCGUUACCAUGGAGCCUGGAGGUGCCCGCGAACGCUGCUUGUCGCCUGGGCAACCGGAGAGGACGAAGCAGGACCUAGGUGGCGGCGGUGGUACCGGCUGCAAUGGUGUCCAAUCCCGUGCAUGGCUUGCCCUUUCUUCCGGGCACGUCCUUUAAGGACUCUACGUUUUUGUAGAGACAGCAUCUUGUUGUCCAGGCUGGUCUCGAACUCUGGGGCUGAAGUGAUUCUCCCUCUUCAGCCUCCCAGAGUUCUGGGAUUAUAGGCACGAGCCACCAUGCCCAGCCUUAAUGUUGAAAACAGCCUUCCACAGAAGUCAGACGCUGGGCUACAGGAACGGCUAUGCAAUUGUUCGACGUCCAACAGUUGGGAUAGGCGGAGACCGGCUCCAGUUCAACCAGCUGUCCCAGGCUGAGCUGGAUGAGUUGGCCAGUAAGGCACCAGUCUUAACUUAUGGCCAACCUAAACAAGCCCCACCUGCGGAUUUUAUUCCUGCGCAUGUGGCCUUUGACAAAAAGGUACUGAAAUUUGAUGCCUAUUUCCAAGAAGAUGUUCCUAUGUCAACUGAGGAACAGUAUAGGAUCCGUCAAGUGAACAUUUACUAUUAUCUAGAAGAUGACAGCAUGUCUGUCAUAGAGCCUGUUGUAGAAAAUUCUGGAAUCCUUCAAGGCAAGUUAAUAAAACGCCAGCGGCUAGCCAAGAAUGACCGGGGUGACCAUUACCAUUGGAAAGACCUAAAUCGAGGAAUAAACAUCACAAUUUAUGGCAAAACUUUCCGCGUUGUUGACUGUGACCAAUUCACACAGGUAUUUUUAGAAAGCCAAGGAAUUGAAUUAAAUCCACCAGAGAAGAUGGCUCUUGAUCCUUACACUGAACUCCGAAAACAGCCUCUUCGUAAGUAUGUCACCCCAUCAGACUUUGAUCAACUCAAGCAAUUUCUCACCUUUGACAAACAGGUGAGUGACAUAGGAACCACAGUAGGCUUACUUAUUUCCAAAUGUGACCUACAUUUAUUGGCAAAAGGUUUGGGUAGCUGUAUUGGUAACUAUUUUGAAACAUUACAGCUAUAAUUGUACUGUUUGGACACAGUACUGUCUUUCUGCUUUCAUCAAGGGUUACAGGUACAGGAAUGCCUACAUUUCAUAUGGAGAUCCAAAGAAGAUCGUGGAGUUGCGGAGUUGUUUUCUGAACCUCACCAAACAUUUAAAUCUCAAAGCAAUUCCUGAGCUACAUCUGCUUCCCACCUUACGUUUCCAAUUGACAAUUUCUUUCCCUUAAAAUGAGCUAAUUUCAUAGACUCCUUUGUGAAACCAUAAAUCGAUUAUUAGGAAAUUUCAAAAAUAUGCAUACAUGUAGGUUGUAAUGUUAAAAUGUUUAAUUUCACAGAAGCCCCACUACAGAUGCUUCCUUGUUAAAUGUUAUAUUAAUAUUGGAGUCCAGAAUGUUCUGAGCGUUUUCCAACUCUGUUCCAGCCUUCCUAAUCCUCUCCCUUGUGAGCUGAUGUGUAUAAGCAGAUUUAAAUCCUUCCCUUUCUGUACUAAAGGGAGAAAGAAAAGGAAGAGAUCACCCUCAGUGCUUCUUUGCUGCUCCUUUUCUUUAGACAUUUAACCCCUUUUAGUUCAGAAAAUGUAAACUAGCACUAGCAUGGUCUUUUAAGGAUUUUGUUCAUAUCAGUCAUAAUCUGUUAUUAUUUUGUAUUUAAAGAUUGUGUUUAUUCCCACGAUUUGAAGAAGCCUAGCCAAAAAAAAAAAAAAAAAAAGAUUGUGUUUAUAUUAUUGCUAGAAGAUAUGUGUUGAUGGGACCAAAAAAAGACUGGUUAAUAAAUAAAAAUUUUUUCUAUACUAAUUAUAUAUAAACCAUAUUCACAUGUACCUUUAUUAAUAUAUAUAUACCACUAUGUAAAGAACUUCAUUGCUCUUUUAAUUUAGCUUCUCUUUUACUGACUAAUAUUUUGGAUCAAAGUGAGAUCUUCUUUUUUGGCACAAACUUAUAAUCCUAUUAUUUAAUUCUUUCCAGCUGCUGACAUAUAGUACAUAAUUUCAGAUGUUUUAGUAUGUUUGAUGAAUAUUUCUUUUUUUUUUCAAUUUACCCCAUCUGAAAUUACUUCAUAGUCUUUCCAGCUAGUCUUUCCAUCGUUGAUACAUAAUUGCCAAAGUAGCCAAGUUGAACUCCCUACUUUUAAGAUUCUUGAGUCACUACUUUGGAUUCUUCAAAGGUCCUUCGAUUCUAUGCAAUCUGGGAUGAUACAGACAGCAUGUAUGGUGAAUGUCGGACCUACAUCAUUCAUUACUAUCUUAUGGAUGAUACGGUGGAAAUUCGAGAGGUCCACGAACGGAAUGAUGGGAGAGAUCCUUUCCCACUCCUAAUGAACCGCCAGCGUAUGCCCAAAGUUUUGGUGGAAAAUGCAAAGAACUUCCCUCAGUGUGUGCUAGAAAUCUCUGACCAAGAAGUGUUGGAAUGGUAUACUGCUAAAGACUUCAUUGUUGGGAAGUCACUCACUAUCCUUGGGAGAACUUUCUUCAUUUAUGAUUGUGAUCCAUUUACUCGACGGUAUUACAAAGAGAAGUUUGGAAUCACUGAUUUACCACGUAUUGAUGUGAGCAAGCGGGAACCACCUCCAGUAAAACAGGAGUUGCCUCCUUAUAACGGUUUUGGACUAGUGGAAGAUUCUGCUCAGAAUUGUUUUGCUCUCAUUCCAAAAGCUCCAAAAAAAGAUGUUAUUAAAAUGCUGGUGAAUGAUAACAAGGUGCUUCGUUAUUUGGCUGUACUGGAAUCCCCCAUCCCAGAAGACAAAGACCGCAGAUUUGUCUUCUCUUACUUUCUAGCUACCGACAUGAUCAGUAUCUUUGAGCCUCCUGUUCGCAAUUCUGGUAUCAUUGGGGGCAAGUACCUUGGCAGGACUAAAGUUGUUAAACCAUACUCUACAGUGGACAACCCUGUCUACUAUGGCCCCAGUGACUUCUUCAUUGGUGCUGUGAUUGAAGUGUUUGGUCACCGGUUCAUCAUCCUUGAUACAGACGAGUAUGUUUUGAAAUACAUGGAGAGCAACGCUGCCCAGUAUUCACCAGAAGCACUCGCGUCAAUUCAGAACCAUGUCCGAAAGCGAGAAGCGCCUGCUCCAGAAGCAGAAAGCAAGCAAACUGAAAAGGAUCCAGGCGUGCAGGAAUUGGAAGCAUUAAUAGACACAAUUCAGAAGCAACUGAAAGAUCACUCAUGCAAAGACAACAUUCGUGAGGCAUUUCAAAUUUAUGACAAGGAAGCUUCAGGAUAUGUGGACAGAGACAUGUUCUUUAAAAUCUGUGAAUCGCUUAAUGUCCCAGUGGAUGACUCCUUGGUUAAGGAGUUAAUCAGGAUGUGCUCUCAUGGAGAAGGCAAGAUUAACUACUAUAACUUUGUUCGUGCUUUCUCAAACUGACCUGCUGAUGAGAAAAUGCAAGACAAUUUUUGAUAUUGGAACUAUGCUUUGAAAUACACCUUACACUC